AUCCACAGACAUGCUGCUGUGAGCAUAUAGGAAAUACUGCUGAUGCACAUAUAUGAAACAUCCUCCAUAUAGCUUAGAUGAAUCC